UGGGGAAUAUUGGACAAUGGGGACCGUAGCAUCCAGCCAUGCCGCGCUGUGUGAAGAAGGCCUUAUGGUUGUAAAGCACUUUAAGCGAGGAGGAGGCUCUCUUGGUUAAUACCCAAGAUGAGUGGACGUUACUCGCAGAAUAAGCACCGGCUAACUCUGUGCCAGCAGCCGCGGUAAUACAGAGGGUGCGAGCGUUAAUCGGAUUUACUGGGCGUAAAGCGUGCGUAGGCGGCUUUUUAAGUCGGAUGUGAAAUCCCCGAGCUAACUUGGGAAUUGCAUUCGAUACUGGGAAGCUAGAGUAUGGGAGAGGAUGGUAGAAUUCCAGGUGUAGCGGUGAAAUGCGUAGAGAUCUUGGAGGAAUACCGAUGGCGAAGGCAGCCAUCUGGCCUAAUACUGACGCUGAGGUACGAAAGCAUGGGGAGCAAACA
rnacentral:rRNA from 1 species